rnacentral:rRNA from 1 species
UACGUAGGGUGCGAGCGUUGUCCGGAAUUACUGGGCGUAAAGAGCUCGUAGGUGGUUUGUCGCGUUGUUCGUGAAAACUCACAACUCAAUUGUGGGCGUGCGGGCGAUACGGGCAGACUGGAGUACUGCAGGGGAGACUGGAAUUCCUGGUGUAGCGGUGGAAUGCGCAGAUAUCAGGAAGAACACCCGUGGCGAAGGCGGUUCUCUGGGACGGUACUGACGCUGGAGACGCGAAAGCGUGGGGAGCGAACAGG